rnacentral:rRNA from 1 species
CACGGGGGGGAGCAAGCGUUGUUCGGAAUCACUGGGCGUAAAGGGCGUGUAGGCGGUCUGGUAAGUGGGAUGUGAAAUCCCUCGGCUCACCCGAGGACCUGCAUCCCAUACUGCCAGGCUUGAGUACGGGAGAGGAUGAAGGAAUUCCUGGUGUAGCGGUGAAAUGCGUAGAUAUCAGGAGGAACACCGGUGGCGAAGGCGUUCAUCUGGCCCGAUACUGACGCUGAGGCGCGAAAGCUAGGGGGAGCAAACGGG